AAUAGGGGUACUCUCAUAUCCGAAACGUUUUCUUUGGUGGGACUUAUCAGAAUCCUGGGAUUCUGUGAAAAUCUAUGUUUUUCGAGGAUUUUGAAUUGCACUAGGAUUCUGCAGAAUCCGCUCGAGAUUUUGGAAGGCAAAUCGAGUUCUUUUCGCUCAGGAUUUUCCAGGACGAGAUUCUUCACAAUCUGUUCAAAAGAACUGGGCCUAAUUGCCGAAUGCAGCGGUAUUCUUUCGCUGGAGGUCAUUGCUGGAUUUGCUUUAGCUCUUCGGGCUGUUUUUCGUAAUCUCCAAGCCUCUUCAACCACCGUAAACCGAGGUCAGAUCCAGACUCAGCUGCUAUCUGGAACUGCUCCUUUGCCAGCUUUACUGGGUCCUGCUGUAUGGUCCUUUUUCGCACCUUCCCAGUUGACGGACUCUUGCCUGAGUUGAACCUGGUAAUGACUUCAGGCACUUCAGCACCUGAAACAACCACACGGUAAGCAUAAACAGAUAGGCCUGGAGUCUGGAGUAAUCUAACAAUUCCAGCCAAAAUUAAACAAAAUCAGUUGACCAAGAGCUGUCCAAAUUAAUGGUGAAACCAUAACUUCACAACCUGUUUACUCUAAAAUAGCCAUUACAAGAAGGAUAAUAUAAGGACACAUGAUUAUCUCUUGAAACGUUAAGAGUUACUCCCUCCGUAAACAAAUAUAAGAGCGUUUAGAUCACUAAGAGUUACUCCCUCCAUAAACAAAUAUAAGAGCGUUUAGAUCACUACUUUAGUGAUCUAAACGCUCUUAUAUUUCUUUACAGAGGGAGUACUUGUCUACAAACCUUUCAGAAGAAGGGAACCAUAUGCAAUUGCAGCUCCAGCAUGUCCCUGAGAUGUCAGAAAAACAGAAAUAACAACGUGAUUCAUGGGUUGCAAGUAAAUAAGAUAAUUUUGAGUUGAUCUAUUUCAUUUACUACCUUUUCUGAAGCUCUAUGGAAACACCACAUAGCUGAAGCUAUGUCCCUCUUAACGCAAUCCCCAGUUAUAUAUACAGCACCAAGAAGAUACAAAGCACCAGGAUGCAACUGCAUUCAAAGAUAGGUAAAAGCUGAAUAUGCUUACCAAGAAGCAUAGUAGAAAAUAUAUGAUCAACAUUCAGGUGGCAAGCAUACCUGGUCAACAGCUUUCUCUAUAUAAUGAAAGGCCUGUUGAUCAGACUGAACAUGAUCAUUCUACAAGCAACAAAGGUAACCAUCAACUGAGGUGAAGAAAUAUUCCACCGAAAUGGUCUAAGGAAUGAAACUAUCAUUUGCCCAGCAAACAACUAAUAUUCGAUUAAUAAAGUGCCCCACAAAAAAAAGAAUUAAAUAGGUGGAACAGAAAGAUGCCAAAAGCAGAUGAAGAGUGAAAACCUCAACUCUUAGCCGACAUCCAAGUUCAUACUGUGCCUCUGGAUCACCCAUGUUCGCAGCUUCAACAAGCAAAGCAGCACCACUGUACGCAUGAAAAGUGAGAGAUGAGCAUAAUUCACAUGAAAUGUGUACUGAAGGCAAGUUUUGCUUCAUGUGGAGGUAGCGGAAUAAAUGUUCCUACUAAAACGCAGCAAAAGAAAAGGAUGGUUUGCCUCACUCAAUAUUUUACGAUUUAAUUGAAGGUCAAAAAAGUAAACAUCGUUCCCAAUUUUCUUUUCCAAUCAAGGAGCUGCUAAUCUCGUUAAUCUUCUGUCCUGGUAAGUACUAAUGCAGCAAUUAUUGCUGACUAAUUGGACACAUAAUGUUGUUAGUAACCGCAAUUCAAAUAUAUUGCCAGUACAAAUUAUCUCAAAGCGCCAAACUCGAGGCAUACCAGUGGUUUAUUAAACAUUUUGACCAAGACAAUAAGGUUCAGUUCCAGUUAGGAUUUUGAAUAGGUUCACCCGCAAAAAAAAANNNNNNNNNNNNNNNNNNNNNNNNNNNNNNNNNNNNNNNNNNNNNNNNNNNNNNNNNNNNNNNNNNNNNNNNNNNNNNNNNNNNNNNNNNNNNNNNNNNNNNNNNNNNNNNNNNNNNNNNNNNNNNNNNNNNNNNNNNNNNNNNNNNNNNNNNNNNNNNNNNNNNNNNNNNNNNNNNNNNNNNNNNNNNNNNNNNNNNNNNNNNNNNNNNNNNNNNNNNNNNNNNNNNNNNNNNNNNNNNNNNNNNNNNNNNNNNNNNNNNNNNNNNNNNNNNNNNNNNNNNNNNNNNNNNNNNNNNNNNNNNNNNNNNNNNNNNNNNNAAAAAAAAGGUCACUUAUAAAGGAUUCAAAUUGAGUCAAAACAACAACAUAACUACAUAAGCAACGAUAAAAUUAGUUGUUUGCAUCACGUUCACAGAUUCCUGGAAUAGCAGUGAAACAACAAAGUAGUGUACAUGCCAUAUGAGCAGGUUGAACGACACAGCAAAGUAAGUAAAUUAACACUAACAUCAUGGGAGGUAAAAUUAACUCACAUUGCCUUGCACGCCCCGGGAACAUGGUACUUGAAAUGCAUCUUGGCCAGCCAACAUCUCGCGUGAGUAUUCAUAUUGUCGAUCUCUAGAGCCAGCUCAAAGUUCUCCUUUGCGCCCUUCGACACCGAGAAAGAAUCGCACAACAAAAAGUUAAAACCCCAACAACAGGUCACAACAGAAUGGUUCCAAAUGGGGGAAGAGAGGGAACGUGAAUCCAGAGCUGUACCCUGAGAAGUGGGAUUAGUCGCUUGUCGUUGCGGUCGGCGAAGUCGAUGACGCGAUCGACCUCCUGUAGGGCGCUCCAACCCUUGGCCACCAACUCCAUUGCCUUCUUGUUCCGGUCGUGAAUCCAUCUCUGCAACCACAAAGAAGUUUAUUCACCGCCUGGCAACAUACUAGAGCAUGAAAUCAAAUAGAUACGUAGAUGCGCGCGUCUCAUCCGCGCCACACUCACCUGGUGAUUCAGCGUCGAGGCCAGCUGGGAGACAUGGCCGGACGGGGAAGACGAAGCGGCGGCGGCAGCGACCCGCCGCGCCGAUGCGGCGAUCAUGGCGGGGUGACGCCCUUCUCCGUGAGCCCGGCUGCAGAGGGGAUGACAGGGUGGUCUGCCCCCCAAAAAAAUUAUAAGCAAUAUGGACACGUGAACAUUCUAACUAAUUACCAAUAUCACAAAGAAAUAGAUCAAUAUGGUCUUACAAACACACUAAAAUUCUCAAUUAAAUCUUAGUUUUGCAUAAAGAAGCCUACAUAUUACAUACUACAUGGAACAUACUCCCUCCGUUCCGAAUUACUUGUCGCAGGUAUGGAUGUAUCUAGAUGUAUUUUAAUUCUACAUACAUCCAUUUCUGCGACGAGUAAUUUGGAACGGAGGAAGUAGUAGAUAGUGCAUACCUUGAGAAAUUCAAAAAGACUGUUUCUGGCCUACGUUUUUGCAUUGCCAUGAAGAUAUCAAUUAUAUCAGCUUCAUUCACCUCUGAGAAAGCAUCCCUCUCAAUGUAUGUGACUAGGCCGAAAUUAUGUGCAAAAUUAUGUAUGGAUAGUGCAAAAAUGAAACCCUAAAUCAGAAAUUAGGGUAUUUCGGUACCUUCAAUUCCGGAGGCUGGUGUGGUGACUGAGCGGCAGUGGCUGCCGCCAAACUUGCAGGGGGGCGAGGGCAGGGGCGCCAGGCUUCCGGCCGGCGGCAGGGGCACGGCCGCGCGCAGGGAGGGGCGUGGGCAGGGAGGCGCGGCUGGACCAGAGGGCUGUCCGACCGGGCGGGAAGGAGAGGCGCGGGCGCCAGGAGGCUGGGAUCCGGGCUCCGGCUGGCGACCGGCGGUGAGGUCGCGAGGAACGGCGACGGCGAGGCGGCUGGGCGUCGAUGUCGGGCAGUGGCGCAGUGCUGUGCGAGGGCGUCGCCGUGUCGGGAGGAAGGGCUCUGCUCGAUGUGGACUGGGCCGCGAGGACUAUUUCUCGCAUUCAGCGAGGCUCGCUGAACCGUUUAGAAAUAGAAAAAGUAAGAGAAAAUGAGGGCCUGGGUUCGAUUCUGUACUGCAUAGAGUUUUUUUUUCUUAACACAGUACAGACGCAAGCGCUUAUAUACACGCGCAGACACUCACCCUUAUAAACAUGUACACACUCUAUUUCUAUGAGCAUCUUCAAAAGACUAAGCCGGCAUAUUAUCUUGAAAUUUACGAAGUCACCGUAGGCACCUCAUCGUCAACGUGAACGUCUCGAACUUGAAUACUGGUGGAUUAAGGAUAUCAUAGUCCCUCUAACCAUUCAACCACAGAUUGACUACAUAGAGUUGCUAGCCGCUAUGCCACUUAUCAUUUCGCGUUCGCACCCUAGUUGAUGUAAAAGACCGGAGCUUUCUUUUCUAUUUCUCCUCUUUUAAUGCUUAUUCAUUUUUCUUCUUUUCUCUUCUCCAACUUUUCCUUUCUUUUUUGCAUUUGUCCCUUCGUUUUUUCCUCCUUUUUCAUUUUUUGUUUCUCCUUUCUCCUUUGUUUUUUAUGUUUGCUUUCGUUUUCACUCUACAUUUUCAUAUAUGUCAAAAAUAUUUUUUGUAUAAGUGGUCAACAUUUUUUGUAUACACGUUCAACAUUUCUCAAAAACUUGUUCNNNNNNNNNNNNNNNNNNNNNNNNNNNNNNNNNNNNNNNNNNNNNNNNNNNNNNNNNNNNNNNNNNNNNNNNNNNNNNNNNNNNNNNNNNNNNNNNNNNNNNNNNNNNNNNNNNNNNNNNNNNNNNNNNNNNNNNNNNNNNNNNNNNNNNNNNNNNNNNNNNNNNNNNNNNNNNNNNNNNNNNNNNNNNNNNNNNNNNNNNNNNNNNNNNNNNNNNNNNNNNNNNNNNNNNNNNNNNNNNNNNNNNNNNNNNNNNNNNNNNNNNNNNNNNNNNNNNNNNNNNNNNNNNNNNNNNNNNNNNNNNNNNNNNNNNNNNNNNNNNNNNNNNNNNNNNNNNNNNNNNNNNNNNNNNNNNNNNNNNNNNNNNNNNNNNNNNNNNNNNNNNNNNNNNNAUUCAACAUUUUCAAAUACUUGUUCAACAUUGUAUUAUACUCGUUCAACAUUUUCUAAUAUCUAUUCAACAUUUUUAAAAUACUGUCGAACAGUUUUAAUACUUAUUCAACAUUUUCAAAUACUUGUUCAACAUUUAUCAAAUUUUUGCUCAACAUUUUUAAAUACAUGUUCAUCAUUUUUUAUAUACUUGUUCAAUAUUUUUUUAAUACCUAUUCAAAAUAUUUAAAAUAUUUUUUCAACAUUUUUAAUACUUGUUCAACAUUUUUCAAAUACUUGCUCAACAUUUUACAAAUUCUUGUUCAACAUUUUUUAAUACUUAUUCAAUAUUUUAUCAAAUGUAUUUUUGAAGAGUGUUUUUAAUAUAUAUAUAUAUAUAUAAUAUUUUUAAAGUAUAAAAAAUGAAAACAAAAACAAAAAAUGUAAAAAUAAAUAAAACUAAGGAACAUGCCGGUGUUGCCAGCGCGGGUGGCCCAGCCUAGACGCUCACGCGCUUCAGCGAGUCAGAUGCCUCGACUCGCUGAACGCGAGGAAUAGCGAUGCCCGGACUGGGCGUGGUUGUAUUUGUCAACUGGUAUGUAUACUGGGCCAUUUUUUUCUGGCCCUGUAACUAGAUGUUCCAACCCAUGAUAAAGUUUUUUCGGAAACCUAGGAGCCUCCGCUUAGGCGAUUAGGGUUUCGUGGAGCACGGCGGCGCUCGCCAGAUCUUGAUUGGCGGGGUGCGUGAUUGGCCGGGCAAGAUGUCCUCAUCGGGCGCCGGCAGAGGGGUGGGUCUAAUCCCACGCCUGGGCGGACAGAGAACCAAGGAGAGAAGGCGCAGGCGGCACCAGGAUCGUCGGGCGCGGCUAGGGCUCAACUGGAAGAGGCCCUUGGAAAACUCGGGAUCAUCGACGAGGAGGCGACGCCUCUAGUUAUUGAUGAUCGGGAAGACGAAGCUCCGGUGAAGUGGCUACUUGCAGGGAAGGUUUUGAACCGCAAUCUCCUCCAUAUCCGAACCAUAAGCAAUGCCCUCCGCCCAGCUUGGGGAAACCCUAGGGGGUUGAAGUUCACGUCCAUGGGAGAUAAUAUGUUCGUGGUUGUGUUUGAAUCCAAGAGAGACAGAGAUCAGAUCUGGGACGGAUCGCCGUGGCAUGUGAGCAAGAACGCGGUAAUCCUUGCUGAAUUUGAGGAGUGUAUGAGGCCGGAUGAGGUGAGUUUUGACCGGCUGCAGUUAUGGGCACGAGUUAUCAAUCUUCCCUACAAUCUCAGGGAUGAUGUAUGGGGCAAAGAAAUCGCAAAGCAGAUUGAUAAGAAGGCUUCCUCGGUGCAGUUUGACCACACGGGAGGUUAUUUGCGCGCGAGAGUCACCAUUGAUGUGAGUAAAUCUCUGAGGAGGUGGAUUUUAAUUGAAUCGGCCAGGAGGAAGAAGCAAGACUUGUAUGAGAUACAAUAUGAAAAUGUGCUGCACUUCUGUUUCUCCUGUGGCCGCUUGGGACAUUCGGAGCUCUUUUGCCCUACCCCGGGGAAGAGAGACAAGAACGGAGAUCUCCCCUUUGGGGCAGGCCUGCGUGCUCCGGAGAAGAGGAGGAAAGAUUUCUCGGGUGACAGUACGAAGAGAGAGCACACUACAGCCAGCACCAGCAAACGAGAAUCAAAGAACUCCAGUAAUGUUGCUACGGGCAAAACUACUGUGGAGGUUACCUCACCGAUCAAAUCUCGCUUACCAAAAAGAAAGGAGGUGCCUACCCAGGAAUACCAAAGAGUUAAUCAACCACUAUUGUUGAAAUCUGCUGUGGAGCAUGAAGACAUGAGCAAUAGUGAGGAUGGUUCAGAGGGGCAGAAUGAAGAGGACAUGCUUAGGAAGAAGAAGCCAACACCAGAAAAUUCGGCAGAGGCUACGGUGCAGCCCUGCCCGUCCAAAUGAAUUGCAUGAGCUGGAACUGCCGGGGGCUUGGGAACCUCGAGGCAGUUCGCGAGCUUCGCAGCAUUGUGAAGCAAGAAGGUCCUGCCCUUUUAUUUGUAAUGGAAACUAAAAUAAGGGCAAAGAGAGUGGAAAACCUGAAACUCACGUUAGGGUUUGCGGGUUGUUUCGCAAUCGAUAGUGAUGGUCUGAGUGGUGGUGUUGGACUGUUCAGGUCGAAGGAAGUUUCAGUUGAGUUGAAGAAUUAUAGUCUGAGUCAUAUUGACGUCAUAGUUAAGAAGGAGGGACAAGUUUCUCCGCCAUGGAGAUUUACAGGUUUCUAUGGAGCACCGAGAGCAGAGAAUCGUUACCAUAGCUAGCGCUUCAUGAGAACUCUUUAUGCGAUCCAACAUCGAGCUUGGAUCUGCGUUGGUGAUUUUAAUGAGACCUUGUAUGGGUCCGAGCACUUCAGCCGGGCGGCACGGCCGGAGUGGCAGAUGCGGGCCUUCCGCGAGGUGGUGCAAGAGUGCGCCCUACAGGAUCUAGGAUGGAAUGGCUUGGAAUACACAUGGGAUAACAAACAGCAAGGGGAAGCGAAUGUGAAAGCACGACUCGAUCGUGCGCUCGCAAAUGAGGAUUUUUUCAAUCUUUUUCCCCUUACUCGAGUUAGACAUGUCAGUUCCAUAGAAUCUGAUCAUUGUUUUCUUAUAAUUGAACUUAGUGAGCAUCAACUUAUGAAUAAUAAAGGGAAGAAGCAGUUCCGUUAUGAGAAUGUAUGGCAGUCUCAUGCAGACUAUGAUGAGCUUGUAAAUGAAUCAUGGAAGAGGCUACAUCGGGGACAGGGACUUGCAGGUAUAGCCGGUACCCUGCAACAACUACAGGGCGAACUGGGUACCUGGGGUGCCCGGGAGUUUGGGAACCUUUCCCGGACUGUUAAAAAGUUGUAGAAGAAGCUAGAAACUCUCCGGAAACAUUCAGUGGGGCGUGGUCCUUCUGAUGAGGAGGUAGUUACAGCACAAAAAUUGAGAGAAGCUCUUCGGCAGGAAGAAGUAUGGGUGCGACAGCGAUCGCGAGUCCGCUGGUUGCGAGCCGGUGAUCGGAAUACGUCAUAUUUUCAAGCCCAAGCAAGACAGCGUAAGCGUAUGAAAAAAAUCUUGAGGCUGAGAAGACGGGAUGAUACGAUCUGUCAAACACCCGAAGAGGACAAAGAAGAGGUUCAAUCCUUUUAUCAGAUGCUCUACACCUCUCAAGGUUUUAAUGACAUGGAGGGCUUCCUUCAGUUUGUACCAGCACAGGUCAGCGAGGAAAUGAAUACAGAACUGACCAAGCCCUAUGUUGCCGCUGAAGUUAAGGCGGCGCUGUUCCAGAUGGCACCCUCAAAGGCGCCGGGAGUGGACAGUUUUACAGCAGGUUUCUUUCAGCGACAUUGGGCUCUUGUGGAAAAGGACCUAGUGCCGGUAGUAUUGGAUUUUCUGAACGGGGGAGAGAUGCCAGUGGGUAGAAAUGACACUUCAAUUACUCUCAUUCCGAAGGUGAGACACCCCCAGUCUAUCUCACAGUACCGACCUAUAUCGCUCUGUCCAGUGCCGUAUAAAAUUGCGGCAAAAGCUAUAACCAACCGUUUGAAACCUUGGAUGGAUGCGAUAGUGGGAGAGGAACAGAGUGUGUUCGUCCCGGGACGACUCAUCACAGAUAAUGUGCUUGUUGCUUUCGAGAGUAUACAUUCGAUGAAAAGAAGGAAGAAAGGAAAACAAUUUUCAUGUGUCGUUAAGUUGGAUAUGAUGAAGGCAUAUGACCGGGUGGAGUGGCAUUACCUGGAAGCAAUGCUUCUCAGACUGGGCUUCGAUGCUCCUUUUGUUCGUCUGAUUAUGAGGUGCGUCACUUCCGUCAGAUUCUCAGUUCGGAUGAAUGGUGAAUUACUACCUUCCUUCACCCCAUCUAGAGGACUGAGACAAGGUUGCCCUGCGUCCCCCUUCCUGUUUCUAUUAUGUGCGGAAGGACUAACCUCCUUGUUAAAUCAUUUUGGUGGACAUUUUGUGGACAGAGGUAUUCAGGUGUCAUGCAGGUCACCCUGGAUCAACCAUCUACUCUUCGCCGACGACAGCCUCAUCUUCAUUAGUGCGACGGUGGAGAGUGUCGACAGAUUGAAUCAAAUCUCUCCCUAAUAAUAAAGCACGGAUUGGGUCUCCGGGUUCACCGUUAUAUUUUUUUUUACUUUCCGUACGUGGUCUCUUUUGCUGGUCCCUACGAGGUGGUACUAUUUUCUAUUCUACCUUGCUCCACGUCUCCUCUCCUCGAUGGAAUUUUAAAAGAAUCGUACGUACAGGUACGGAGAGCCACGCCAGCCCAUCUAACUAACCGCAAAAAACAUGGGCCUCCUUAUGGGCCGCGUGCACGUGAGUGGGCUUUCUUAUCUUAGGUCUUAGAGAAAGAAAAAAGAAACCGCUACAAUACAGAAUCGAACCUGAGAUCUAUUAUAAUUCUUUCAAUCAGGACAACCAACUGAGAUAAACAUAUUACGUGCAGAAUAGUCCCACCUCACAAUUUCAAACAUAGGCAAACCAGUUAAAAUACCAGCCGCCGCAGUAAUUAACAAACAGCCGUGAAAAAGGGGCAGCUAAUUAAGUGGAUGGGGUAAUUAUUGUGCGCGGCUAAUUCAAAGGAAGGAUGGUGUGGGCUCGGAAGAAUAUAAAGGAAGGAUGGUGUGGCAGAAUAUUUAAAUUUAUGGGAUCCUUAAUAAGGCAAGGAAGGAUUGUGAUGGGAUUGCGAGAAUAUUUAAAUGACUGGGAUUUAUGUGAGGCUAAUAAUUAAAAGGGAGGAUUUGAUUGUGGGCUGAAUAUUUGAAGACGGUCGAGGAGAGGCUAAAUAAUUAAAAGGGAGGAUUUGAUUGUGGGCUGAAUAUUUGGGAUCCGGCUUGCCUGCUCCCUUCCCAUGCUCCCAUCCGUGCUCCCACUUCAUCCUAUGGCUGUCCUUUUUCCUUUUUCUUUUCUAAUCUAAUAUUUGGGAGCAGGCAAGUCUCAUCCGAAUAUUUGAAGACGGUCGAGGAGGACUGUGUGAUCCGGACAAACGUGACCACCAUUGACAAUGGUGACGAAAAGAAGAAUUAGUAACAAUAAUGUGUCUCUAGAAAUGCAUAAUUUUUUUAUGGCCGGUUGUAUCGGCGCUAAUAACAUUUUUUCCCCUACCGAUCUCUACGUGCCCAAUAAUAAAAGAAAAUAGCAUGCUAUAGAGUCAAAUAAAGUCUUCCAUAAAUAGUAUUAAUGUGUCAAUCAACCGUGUGAUCUCAUUAUCAAAGCUUUUUUAUUAAUAUUAAUGUUAUUUAGAGAGAUAAGGCAGUACGUACGUCUUCUCAUUAUUACAAUUGAAAACAUGUUUUAGGACCUCUAGAGCUUGAUACCUACUAUUUUUAUUUUUUAGAAUUGUUUGUGUACAAUGCAUGUAUUUCCACUUUUUAUUUUGUUAAUAUUGUGUGAAAACGGCACGGAUCACUGACAACUGGUGCUCACCAGCCACCUAGCACAUCCCAACACCACAUCUACAACCAUCAUGGAAUAUAUUUCAAGCUGGGAUAGAAGAUAACCAGUUCUAUUUUAACUUACAAUAUGAUGAUGAAUUAUAGCUCUAUAUAGAAAAUUAAAGUCCAUUUGGAAUCGGUAGAAAACUUGCUACUCCCGUAUCAUUGUGUUUUGCCCAUUUAAUUCUAACCAAAUUUAAAUACACAUUAAUUGCGUCUUCCGUAGCAACGCACGGACAUUUUUGCUAGUCCUACAAAUUUAUGCAGACUGUUCGGGGCAGAGUGUGAAUAAAACAAAAAGCUCGGUUUUCUUCUCUUCGAAUACGCCAACAGGGAGACGCCACAUAGUGAAGCAAAGGUUGGGUAUUUGCGUGGAGGCAUUCAGUGAGCGCUACCUUGGUCUUCCUACAGCAGUGGGAAGGAUCACCAGCGAGACGUUUGAUCAUAUUGGCGAUCGGGCGCGGACUAGCAUGCAAGGAUGGUCUGAAAGGAAUUUUGCUUGUGCAGGACGUGAAAUUCUUGUGAAAUCAAUAGUGCAAGCAAUACCUACCUUCAACAUGUCUUGUUUCUGCCUCACGAAGAAAGUUUGCAAGAAGUAUACAGCAAACAUGGCGAAAUAUUGGUGGAGCAGCUCACUUGAUAAACGGUCUUUGCACUGGAUAUUAUGGAAGUCGCUCGCAUCUCCAAAAAUUAAUGGCGGAAUGGGCUUCCGUGAUAUGGAACUCUUCAACAUUGCUCUCCUAGGGAAACAUGGUUGGAGGUUCAUGACCAGCCUAGACUCUUUAUGUGCUCGUGUUAUGAAGAGCAGGUACUUCCCAAAUACUGAUUUCAUGCAUGCAACAAUGUCGCAAUCAUCCUCUGCCAUAUGGAGAGCUAUUGUGGCUGGGCGGGAAGCUCUUCGAGCUGGUCUGAUUAUGCGUGUUGGGGAUGGCAGUUCCAUCUCUGUUUGGAAUGACAAGUGGAUCCCAGGUACAAUAUGCAUGUUCCCUAUGAUUAGGCCAGCCAAUUCUCUAAUCCAGUUUGUUCAGGAGUUAAUUGAUGAUGUAAAUUCGAGAUGGAAGGAUGAUCUAAUCCGUAACACUUUCCUAGCACCAGACGCAGAGGCUAUCUUAAACAUACCACUACGCAAUGGGAGAGCUAACGUGCAGGAGGGGGGCAGCGGAGGCCGCGGCGGAGCUGCGGCAAGGCAGCGCGGCACAACGACGUGGUCGGCGCGCGGCGACAGGCGGCGCGAGCGCGCAAGCGAGAGAGAGAGAGGGAGAGAGAGAGAGAGAGGCGCGGGCUCACGGUGGGGGUAGGGCACGGGGCAGCAGGUGUCNNNNNNNNNNNNNNNNNNNNNNNNNNNNNNNNNNNNNNNNNNNNNNNNNNNNNNNNNNNNNNNNNNNNNNNNNNNNNNNNNNNNNNNNNNNNNNNNNNNNNNNNNNNNNNNNNNNNNNNNNNNNNNNNNNNNNNNNNNNNNNNNNNNNNNNNNNNNNNNNNNNNNNNNNNNNNNNNNNNNNNNNNNNNNNNNNNNNNNNNNNNNNNNNNNNNNNNNNNNNNNNNNNNNNNNNNNNNNNNNNNNNNNNNNNNNNNNNNNNNNNNNNNNNNNNNNNNNNNNNNNNNNNNNNNNNNNNNNNNNNNNNNNNNNNNNNNNNNNNNNNNNNNNNNNAGGUGUCGUGGGGGAGGACGGGGACGUCGUCGGCGUCGAGGAGGCAGGCCGGUGGGGGGAGCGCCGGCGAGGUCCAGGCGGGGAGGGGGCGACGGUGUUCGGCGGCGACGUCGGGCGUCGAGGGCGCGGUCACCCCGAUCCCGAUCCGGAUCGGGGGAGCGAGGGGGGAGCGAGUGGGGCGAGUGGGGCGACGGGGUGGACGGCUAGGGUUUCGGGAGGGGUUAAGGAGAAGGGUUGGGCCGGUGGCCUGGCCGGCUGUGGCCUGGUGGGCCGAAGCCCAAGGGGCCGGGGGUUUCUUUUAUUUUAUUUUUGCUUUAUGUUUUGUUUAUUUUCCUUUUAUUUAUUUUGUUUUACUGCUUUAAUUCAACUUAGGGCAUAUAAGUAUUUUAUAAAUUUGUGUUUUCUUUACUAUAAUUAUCUAUGUAAUAUUUGGCACUAACCGAACAUUUUUGUUUUGAUGUUUGAAAACUUUUGAUGUUUGACAAUAUUUAAAUUUUGAAUUUGAAAGUUUCGAACCGACGCGAGAUUAGCAACAGUAAACGAGGUGACGUGGCAUCAUUAGCAGAGAUUCACUACAGCUUAAAUAUCUGGACGUCACAAUUCUCCUCCACUACAAGAAAUCUUGUCCCGAGAUUUAGGAGGUAGAAGGAAACAGUGCGGGGUAUUCAUCACGCAGGCGGUCCUCGCGUUCCCAAGUGGCUUCAUCUUCAGAAUGGUGCGACCACUGGACUUUGAGGAACUUGAUCGCCUUCUGACGUGUGCGGCAUUCAGCUUGGUCAAGAAUGCAGACCGGAUGCUCUUUAUAGGAGAGGUCCUGUUGCAAUUCGAGCACUUCAUGUUCCACUGCUCGGAUUGGAUCCUUGAAGCAACGGCGGAGUUGUGACACGUGGAACACAUCAUGAACCUGGGAAAGGUUCGGCAGAAGCUCCAGUUGAUAUGCCACUUUUCCACGCCUUUCAAGAAUAGUGAAGGGACCGAUAUAGCGAGGAGCUAGCUUGCCCUUGAUCCCGAAGCGGUGAGCACCCUUCAUUGGUGUAACUCGAAGAUAAGCCUUUUCGCCAGGUUGAUAGACCAUGUCUUGGUGAUGGCGGUCAUACUGACUUUUCUGACAUGACUGAGCAGUCUUGAGAUUCUCGCGAAUAAUGCGAACUUGUUCUUCGGCCUGUUGGAUAAUAUCCGGACCGAAGAGUGGACGUUCCCCAGUUUCUGACCAGUUUAGAGGGGUCCGACACUUUCGUCCAUAUAGCACUUCGAAGGGGGACAUCUUCAGACUAGCUUGAUAGCUAUUAUUAUAAGAGAACUCGGCAUAUGGAAGAGAUUCCUCCCAUUUCUUGCCGAAGGAAAUUACACAAGCUCGAAGCAUGUCUUCGAGAACUUGGUUGACACGUUCAACCUGUCCUUGCAACUGUGGAUGAAACGCCGUACUGAACGACAGGUGAGUUCCCAUAGCUUCUUGGAAACUCGCCCAAAAUCUUGAAGUGAAUAAGCUGCCACGGUCUGAACUGAUAACCAGUGGAAUACCGUGAAGUGAAACAAUUCUGGACAUGUAGAGAGUAGCAAGCUGACUAGCAGUGAUUGUCCCUUUGACCGCCAGAAAAUGUGCAACUUUAGAAAGCCGGUCAAUGACGACAAGAAUAGCAUCAUUACCUUUCUGUGAUUUGGGAAAUCCAGUGACGAAGUCCAUUUCAACAUGGUCCCAUUUCCAUUCAGGAAUAGAGAUAGGUUGCAGAGUUCCAGCCGGCCAUUGAUGCUCUGCUUUGAUACGGCGGCAAACGUCACACUCAGCAACAUAACGAGCAAUAUCCUGCUUCAUAUUGGACCACCAGAAUCUUUGAUGAAUAUCCUGGUACAUCUUUGUACUACUAGGAUGAAUAGACAAAGGCGUAUCAUGAGCUUCUUUCCUAACCUCUUUAGUCUGAUCCAGGUUUUUCCUCGAACGUGGUACCACUAGGCGGACUUUGAAGUACAAGGCGCCAUCAUCGGUGAUAGAGAAGAAGGAGGUCUUUCCUUCUGCUAGAUGACGUUUAAUCUUAUGGACUUCAGAGUCAUAACCUUGAAUAGUCUUUAUACCAGCUACGAGAUCCGAUACGACAGCCAGGGUAUUUAGAGAACCCUUAGUAACAACAUGAAGAUUCAUCUUCUGAAACUCUGGGGGAGGGGGCGAGUGCUCCAGGAGGAACAAUAUGAAGGUUCAGCUUUCUAAAUUCUUCGACAAGCGAGGGCUGAACUUUGUGAACCUGGAGGUGAUUGCAAUAAGACUUGCGGCUCAAGGCAUCAGCCAUUACAUUAGCCUUGCCGGGGGUAUAGGAUAUACCCACGUCAAAGUCUGCAACAGUCUCCAUCCAUCUCUGCUGACGGAGGUUCAGAUCUGGCUGAGUAAACAGAUACUUCAGCCUUUGGUGGUCGGUGUGUUGGGGAACGUAGCAUAAAUUCAAAAUUUUCCUACGUGUCACCAAGAUCAAUCUAUGGAGUCAUCUAGCAACGAGGGAGGAUUGGAUCUACAUACCCUUGUAGAUCACGCGCGGAAGCGUUCAAGAGAACGGGGUUGAUGGAGUUGUACUCGUCGUGAUUCAAAUCACCGAUGAUCCUAGCGCCGAACGGACGGCACCUCCGCGUUCAACACACGUACGGAGCAGCGACAAUGUUUUGAUAUCCUAUUUGCAAGAUUUCAUAAAUGAUGCAGUAAUUGCUAAUAUAGUUCCAACAGACUCUUAGCAUCGCUACGAGUGAGAAAGUCUCACCGUAGUCAACUCCUUGAACUUGUCGGAAACUUCUUAACGACAAGUCGAGCUUUCUUAAUGGUGACAUUUACCAUCAUUGUCCGUCUUCCUUUUAAAAUCCAUAUGUACCUAACAGCCUUACGACCAUCAAGUAGUUCUGCCAAAGUCUACACUUUGUUUUCAUAUAUGGAUCCUCUCUCGGAUUAUAUGGCCUCGAGCCAUUUUGGAAUCCAGGCCCACCAUCGCUUCUCCAUAGCUUGUAGGUUCAUUGUUGUCUAGCAACAUGACUUCCAAGACAGGAUUACGUACCAUUCUGAAGUAGUAUGCAUCCUUGUUAUCCCACGAGGUUUGGUAGUGGCUUGAUCUGAAGUUUCAUGAUCACUAUCAUAAGCUUCCACUUCAAUUGGUGUAGGUGCCACAGGAACAACUUCAUGUGCCCUGCCACACACUAGUUGAAGAGACGGUUCAAUAACCUCAUCAAGUCUCCACCAUCCUCCCACUCAAUUCUUUCGAGAGAAACUUUUCCUCGAGAAAGGGCCCGAUUCUAGAAACAAUCCCCUAUUGCUUUCGGAUCUAAGACACGAGGUAUACCCAACUGUUUUGGGUGUCCUAUGAAGAUGCAUUUAUCCACUUUGGGUUCGAGCUUAUCAGCCUGAAACUUUUUCACAUAAGCGUCGCAGCCCCAAACUUUUAAGAAAUGACAGCUUAGAUUUCUCUAAACCAUAGUUCAUACGGUGUCACCUCAUCGGAAUUACGUGGUGCCCUAUUUAAAGUGAAUGUGGUUGUCUCUAAUGCCUAACCCAUAAACUAUUGUGGUAAUUCGAUAAGAGACAUCAUGGUAUGCAUCAUAUCCAAUAGGGUGCAGUUAUGAUGUUCGGACACACCAUCACACUAUGGUGUUCCAGACUGUAUUGGUUGUGAAACAAUUUCCACAAUGUCUUAAUUCUGUGCCAAACUCGUAAUUCAGAUAUUCAUCUCUAUGAUCAUAUUAUAGAUCUUUUAUCCUCUUGUCACGACGAUCUUUCAACUUCACCCUGAAAUUACUUGAACCUUUCAAUAAUUCAGACUCGUGAUUCAUCAAGUAAAUGUACUCAACAUCUACUCAAACCAUCUGUGAAGUAAGAACAUAACGAUGUCCACUACACGCCUCAACACUCAUUGGACUGCACACAUCAAAAUGUAUUACUUCCAACAAGUUGCUUUCUAGUUCCAUUUUACUGAAAAACGAGGCUUUCAGUCAUCUUGCCCAUGUGGUAUGAUUUGCAUGUCUCAAGUGAUUCAAAAUCAAGUGAGUCCAAACGAUCCAUCUGUAUAGAGUUUCUUCAUGCAUAUCUACCAACAAACAUGGUUCGCAUGUCUCAAUCCUUUCAAAAAUGAGUGAGUCCAAAGAUCCAUCAACAUGGAGCUUCUUCAUGUGUUUUAUACCGAUAUGACUUAAGUGGCAGUGCCACAAGUAGGUGGUACUAUCAUUACUAUAUUUUGGCAUGAACAUGUGUAUCACUACGAUCGAGAUUCAAUGAACCAUUCAUUUUAGGUGCAAGACCAUUGAAGGUAUUAUUCAAAUAAAUAGAGUAACCGUUAUUCUCCUUAAAUGAAUAACCGUAUUGCGAUAGACAUAAUCCAAUCAUGUCUAUGCUCAAUGCAAACACCAAAUAACAAUUAUUUAGGUUUUAAUACCAAUCUCGAUGGUAGAGGGAGCGUGCGAUGCUUGAUCAUAUCAACCCUGGAAACACUUCCAACACAUAUCGUCAGCUCACCUUUAGCUAGUCUCCGUUCAAUCCGUAGCUUUUAUUUCGAGUUACUAACACUCAGCAACCGAAUCGGUAUCUAAUACCCUGGUGCUAGAGUACUAGUAAAGUACACAUCAACACAAUGUAUAUCCAACAUACUUCUAUCGACCUUGCCAGCCUUCUAAUCUACCAAGUAUCUAGGGUAAUUCUGCUCCAGUGGCUGUUCCCCUUAUUACAGAAGCACUUAGUCUCGGGUUUGGGUUCAACCUUGGGUUUCUUCACCAGAGCAGCAGCUGAAUUGCCGUUUCAUGAAGUAUCCCUUCUUGCCCUUGCCCUUCUUGAAACUAGUGGUUUCACCAACCAUCAACAAUUGACGCUCCUUCUUGAUUUAUACUUUGGUGUCAAACAUCGCGAAUAUCUCAAGGAUCAUCAUAUAUGUCCCUGAUAUAUUAUAGUUCAUCACGAAGCUCUAGCAGCUUGAUGGCAAUGACUUUGGAGAACCAUCACUAUUUCAUCUGGAAGAUCAACUCCCACUCGAUUCAAGCGAUUGUUUUACUCAGACAAUCUGAGCACAAGCACAACAAUUGAGCUUUUCUCCUUAGUUUGCAGGCUAAGAAAAUCGUCGGAGGUCUUAUACCUCUUGACGUGGGCACGAGCCUGAAAUCCCAAUUUCAGCCCUCGAAACAUCUCAUAUGUUUCGCGAUGUUUCAAAACGUCUUCGGUGCCUCAACUCUAAACCGUUUAACUGAACUAUCACGUAGUUAUCAAAAUGUGUAUGUCAGAUGUUCGCAACAUCCAUAGACAACGUUCGAGGUUCAGCACACUGAGCGGUGCAUUAAGGACAUAAGCCUUCUAUGAAGCAAUGAGGACAAUCCUCAGUUUACGGACCUAGUCCGCAUAAUUGCUACUAUCAACUUUCAACUAAAUUUUCUCUAGGAACAUAUCUAAACAGUAGAACUAAAGCGCGAGCUAUGACAUAAUUUGCGAAGAUCUUUUGACUACGUUUAGGAUAAUUAAGUUCAUCUUAUGAACUCCCACUCAGAUAGACAUCCCUCUAGUCAUCUAAGUGAUUACAUGAUCCGAGUCAACUUGGCCGUGUCCGAUCAUCACGUGAGACGGACUAGUCAUCAUCGGUGAACAUCUUCAUGUUGAUCAUAUCUACCAUACGACUCAUGAUCGACCUUUCGGUCUUCUGUGUUCCGAGGCCAUGUAUGUACAUGCUAGGCUCGUCAAGUCAACCUAAGUGUUUGCAUGUGUUCCGAGGCCAUGUCUGUACAUGCUAGGCUCGUCAACACCCGUUGUAUUCGAACAUAAGAAUCUAUACACCCGAUCAUCACGUGGUGCUUCGAAACUACGAACUGUCGCAACGGUGCACAGUUAGGGGGAACACUUUCUUGAAAUUUUAAUGAGAGAUCAUCUUAUUUACUACCGUCGUUCUUAGUAAAAAAGAUGUAUAAACAUGAUAAACAUCACAUGCAAUCAAAUAAUAGUGACAUGAUAUGGCCAAUAUCAUAUAGCUCCUUUGAUCUCCAUCUUGGGGCUCCAUGAUCAUCUUGUCACCGGCAUGACACCAUGAUCUCCAUCAUCAUGAUCUCCAUCAUCGUGUUUCCAUGAAGUUGCCUCGCCAACUAUUACUUCUACUUCUACAGCUAACGGUUAGCAAUAAAGUAAAGUAAUUACAUGACGUUUAUGUUGACACGCAGGUCAUAAAUAAAGACAACUCCUAUGGCUCCUGCCGAUUGUCAUACUCAUCGACAUGAAAGUCGUGAUUCCUAUUACAAGAACAUGAUCAAUCUCAUACAUCACAUAUAUCAUUCAUCACAUCCUUUUGGCCAUAUCACAUCACAAGGCAUACCCUGCAAAAACAAGUUAGACGUCCUCUAAUUGUUGUUUGCAUGUUUUAUGUGGCUGCUAUGGAUUUCUAGCAAGAACGUUUCUUACCUACGCAAAGACCACAACGUGAUAUGCCAAUUGCUAUUUACCCUUCACAAGGACCCUUUUCAUCGAAUCCGAUCCGACUAAAGUGGGAGAGACAGACACCCGCUAGCCACCUUAUGCAACUAGUGCAUGUCUGUUGGUGGAACCAGUCUCAUGUAAGAGUACAUGUAAGGUCGGUCCGGGCCGCUUCAUCCCACGAUGCCGUCGAAUCAAGAUAAGACUAGUAACGGCAAGCAUAUUGAACAAAAUCAACGCCCACAACUACUUUGUGUUCUACUCGUGCAUAGAAACUACACAUAGACCUAGCUCAUGAUGCCACUAUUGGGGAACGUAGCAUAAAUUCAAAAUUUUCCUACGUGUCACCAAGAUCAAUCUAUGGAGUCAUCUAGCAACGAGGGAGGAUUGGAUCUACAUACCCUUGUAGAUCACGCGCGGAAGCAUUCAAGAGAACGGGGUUGAUGGAGUCGUACUCGUCGUGAUUCAAAUCACCGAUGAUCCUAGCGCCGAACGGACGACACCUCCGCGUUCAACACACGUACGGAGCAGCGAUGUCUCCUCCUUCUUGAUCCAGCAAGGGGGAAGGAGAGGUUGAUGGAGAUCCAACAACACGACGGCGUGGUGGUGGAAGUAGCGGGAUUCCAACAGGGCUUCGCUAAGCGCUGCGGGAGGAGGGAGAUGUGUCACGGGAGGGAGAGGGAGGCGCCAGGCCUUAGGUAUGGUUGCUCCUCCUUUUCCCCACUAUAUAUAGGGCCAAGGGAGAGGGGGGAGGCACAGCCCUUGCCCCUUCCUCCAAGGAAGGGUGCGGCCAAGGGGGGGAGGAGUCCAUCCUCCCCAAGGCACCUCGGAGGUGCCUUCCCCUUUUAGGACUCUCCCCUUUUUCUCUUCUCUUGGCGCAUGGGCCUCUUGGGGCUGGUGACCUUGGCCCAUGUAGUCCAAGGCGCACCCCCUACAGCCCAUGUGGCCCCCCGGGGCAGGUGGCCCCACCCGGUGGACCCCCGGGACCCUUCCGGUGGUCCCGGUACAAUACCGGUGACCCCGAAACUUGUCCCGAUGGCCGAAAUAGCACUUCCUAUAUAUAAUUCUUUACCUCCGGACCAUUUCGGAACUCCUCGUGACCUCCAGUAUCUCAUCCGGGACUCCGAACAACUUUCGGGUUACCGCAUACUAAUAUCUCUAUAACCCUAGCGUCACCGAACCUUAAGUGUGUAGACCCUACGGGUUCGGGAGACAUGCAGACAUGACUGAGAUGACUCUCCGGUCAAUAACCAACAGCGGGAUCUGGAUACCCAUGUUGGUUCCCACAUGUUCCACGAUGUCAAGGACUUAAUCAAUCCCGUAUACAAUUCCCUUUGUCUAGCGGCAUUGUACUUGCCCGAGAUUCGAUCGCCGGUAUCCCGAUACCUUGUUCAAUCUCGUUACCAGCAAGUCUCUUUACUCGUUCCGUAACACAUCAUCCCGUGAUCAACUCCUUGACCACAUUGUGCACAUUACGAUGAUGUCUUACCGAGUGGGCCCAGAGAUACCUCUCCGUCACACAGAGUGACAAAUCCCAGUCUCGAUUCGUGCCAACCCAACAGACACCUUUCGAAGAUACCCGUAGUGUACCUUUAUAGCCACCCAGUUACGUUUUGACGUUUGGCACACCCAAAGCACUCCUACGGUAUCCGGGAGUUGCACAAUCUCAUGGUCUAAGGAAAUGAUACUUGACAUUAGAAAAGCUUUAGCAUACGAACUACACGAUCUUGUGCUAUGCUUAGGAUUGGGUCUUGUCCAUCACAUCAUUCUCCUAAUGAUGUGAUCCCGUUAUCAAUGACAUCCAAUGUCCAUGGUUAGGAAACCGUAACCAUCUAUUGAUCAACGAGCUAGUCAACUAGAGGCUUACUAGGGACAUGGUGUUGUCUAUGUAUCCACACAUGUAUCUGAGUUUCCUAUCAAUACAAUUCUAGCAUGGAUAAUAAACGAUUAUCAUGAACAAGGAAAUAUAAUAAUAAUCAAUUUAUUAUUGCCUCUAGGGCAUAUUUCCAACACGGUGAAGAUUUCGCAACUAUUACCGAGAAGGUAAUGUCGCCACUGCUUCAGUGCAUGAAUGACAGCAGCAAGCUCGAGGUCGUGAACUGGGUAGUUUUCUUCGUGAGGGCGCAGUUGAUGAGAGGCAUAAGCAAUCACUCUACGCUCUUGCAUUAGGACACGGCCUAAUCCUUGACGGGAAGCAUCAUAGUAAAUGACGAAGUCCUUAGUAUCAGGUGGAGCAAGCACUGGGGCAGAAGUCAACUUGUCUUUGAGCGCCUGGAAACUUUCCUAACACUUGUCUGUCCAGUCGAACUUGACACCCUUAUGCAACAGAUUAGUCAGAGGCCUGUCAAUCUUGGAGAAGUUCUCGACGAAUCGACGGCAAUAGCUGGCGAGACCGAGAAAACUUCGGACUUGCUUGACAUUCUUCGGAGGAGUCCAAUCGAGAAUAGCCUGAAGUCGUUCAGGGUUGACGGCAAUACCAUCCUUGGAGAUGACAUGCCCAAGAUAGGUUACUUUGGGGAGCCAGAAUUCACACUUGGAAUACUUAGCAUACAGUUGAUGCUCUCGAAGCUUUUCCAGCACAAGACGAAGAUGUUCAGCAUGUUCUUCCUUGAUCUUGGAAAAUACAAGGAUAUCGUCCAAAUAAACCACGACGAACUUGUCGAGGUAAUCCAUGAAUAUAUAGUUUAUCAGACGAGAGAAGGUGGCUGGAGCAUUCAUUAAGCCGAAUGACAUGACGGUGUACUCGUAUGAUCCAUAUCGAGUCACGAAGGCGGUUUUUGGGAUAUCCUCUUCACGAACACGGAUCUGGUGGUAACCCAACCUCAAGUUGAGUUUGGAGAACACUGAUGAGCCAGCCAGUUGAUCAUAAAGAUCAUUGAUCCGAGGAAGAGGGUAUUUAUUCUGAAUGGUAGCUUGGUUUAUAGGACGGUAGUCUUGGACUAAUCGGUUUGUCCCAUCCUUCUUCUUAACAAAGAGAGAAGGUGCUCCCCAAGGAGAGCAACUUGGGCGAAUGAAACCUUUGACAAGAGAUUUGUCAAUUUCCUCCUUAAGCUCAAUGAGUUCAUGUGGCGGCAUCUUGUAGGGUUGUUUGGCUAUAGGGGUGGUGCCGGGUUUCAAGUCGAUGAUGAAUUCGACAGCUCUAGCAGGGGGAAUCCCUGGAAGUUCUUCUGUGAAGACGUCUUGGAAUUCACAAACGAUGAGAAUGUUUUCAAUGCCCUCGAGUGGUGCAGCGUUCAACGCAUUCAAGGCAUAAAGUCGUGCCUCGGCGUUCUGAACUAGAUGAGCUUGGUAAGCAAUUAUUUCAUUAGAAGGGUGUAGCAGAUGGACGACCUUAGUGGCGCAAACUAUAGAAGAAGUAUGCGCUUUCAACCAAUCCAUCCCCAGAAUGAGGUCGAUGUUAGACGACUUCAGGAUAAUGGGAGAGGCAUAGAAUUCCAGCCCUUCGAUUUCCAUGGGGACGUCGAUGCCAACCAGUGAGGUUUGACAUUGUCCCACGGGGUUUUUACCAAUACCGAAGUGUUCAUCUCCUCACAUUUAACAUCAUGCUUGUAUGCAAAAUCGUCUGACAUGAAUGAAUGCGAUGCUCCUGAAUCGAAUAAAACAGAUGCAGGUACUAAAUUUACAAGGAGUGUACCCAUCACGGUAGCAGGCUGGUCUAGAACUUUAUUGAGAUCAGUGUGGUUUGCAUGAACACAACCAUUGAGGUCCAAACCACACCUUCUCCUUUCCGUGAGUUAUCAUCAGAGCGCUUCCAGCAAAGGUCCAUUCCAACAUGACCAGCUGUCGCAGCUCCUCCCCUCGCCCCUCCGGUCCCAAACCCGGGGACUGGGAGAGUUGCACCAUCCCGCAUAGCAAGUUAGCGUCACUUCAGGCCAAGGGAUUCCUCCCUUAGGCAUACAUGGUCCCGGUCCGAGCCGGUCUCGCCACCUAUAAUGGCGGAAAACAAGCGGAGAGCACCCCCAAUCCUUCUAAAGGAGAGCGGGUGUGCCUCGUCCCCUAUCUAAUAAGGGGACUGGGAUUUCCAAUUCACCCGUUUCUCCAUGGGCUUCUGGAGUUCUAUGGCCUCCAGCUGCACCAUCUCACGCCCGCCUCCGUAUUGCACAUCGCAGGUUUCGUCGCCCUUUGCGAGCUAUUUUUAGGCGUGGAGGCUCAUUUCGCGCUGUGGAAGAGGUUAUUCUGCCUGGUGCCCCGUUCUGAAAAGGGGUCUAUAUAUCAAGUGGGAGGAGCCGAAGUAUGGCGCAUCGCCGGGACCAGAUACCUAUCCGAAACCCCAAAGAAGGCGUCCGAGGACUGGCCUUCGGAAUGGUUUUACAUAGAUGACGUCCCGCUUCCGGACCCUAUCCGGGUCGGUCUCCCUGAGUUCAACAGUGCUCCAUUGAAGAAACGCUUGAGCUGGCGUCCGCGGAGCUCUCAGAGAGAAAGUGAUAGAGACGUCCUUUACCUGAUGGGCCGGAUAAGACUGUUGGCUCAUUCCAGACUAACCAUGAUUGGAGUCAUGGCCGCAUGCAUUAUGCGGGGGGUGCAGCCGCUUCAAUAUAGAGGCCACCCCAUGUGGGAUUUCAACGGGGAGGAUGACGCCACACGUUACGGUCGUAAGGGGCCGGACUCAGCCGCCGCCUUAGUAAAGAUCUUAUCCUCUUUGUAUAAGGGAGAAAAGGAGGAAUUCCUCCGCGUCAAUCCGCAGGCCGGAUUUACUAUGUACGAUCCUCCAAGUUGGGUAAGUGAAUAAUUGCGCUUGCCUGUUUGUUCUAUACUCCCAUGGUUAGAUAUGUAGUCUAAUGACUUUAGUGCAGGAACUGCGACAGGAGGUAAAGGAUAUAAAUAGACGCCCUCCACAGCCCGAGGACCCAGAACGGUCCCUCGAUCCGGACUCCGAAGAGGAUCCGGACAUAUCGGUGGAGCUUAUCGACGGGGUGUUCCAUCAGCUAAGCAAGGACAAUACCUUGGUAGCCAUCACGGCUGAUUACCCAGGGUUAAUCCCGGCCUCCAAGGUGACAGAAGCCGGCAUCUCAUUCCCUCGAGAGAGAUUGCACUCUCGCGUAUUCCGGUGUUUCUGACGACAACCAUGUUUUGCAGGGGAGUUUUCCAAGGCAGGAGGCCGAACCUGCGGCGGCCAGCCAACGAGGGGCCGCAGGGCCCCGUGGGGCAAAAAGGAAUGAAGUCCGGACUGAGAUGCCGGCGCAAAGGUAUAGUGCACCCUCUGUUUCCCUGGUGUUAUUCUGUCAGGGCAUAUUAACGUUCGUGCUAUCUUCAGAAUGAAGAGACCUUGCCGGACUACAUCCGGAGAGGUUGCCAAUCGCGCCUCCGCCAGCCAGGCUCCAACGGCUGGCCAGGAAGCGGAGGCGAGCACAAGGCGCGUACCGGAUGCUCCUCCGACAGAGGAUGAGGACAGGCUGUCUGCCACAAAUUCUGAAGUGGAGAGUGCCAUGAACCACAGGCGUCGCCGGACAGUUCUACGCGACGCUUGUUUCUCCCAAGAGGCUUUAGAUACCUUUAAUUUGGGAGAUGCGUACCUCCGUGCCGCUCAAAAUGGUUUAGCCAGGGCCACGGAGCAGUAUGUAAAAGACAUACGGGUAAGAAAAUUUUGGUCAAAGAUAUAUAUACCAGUAGCCCCCGAGACUUGAAACAGUUAGAGCAACUGAUUUAAGGAUCUUUUAAUAUGCAGGUUCUUACAGAGAAGAAUAUUGUACUGUCCCAGGAGCUGGAAAAGUGCAGGGCCCAACUAGAGGCCGCACUAGCCGCAGCAGGGGAGUCCAAAGAGACCCCCUCAGGUAAGAUAGACUUCGAAAGAUUAGUAUUGUGCGGUGUGGGUGUAAAUCUGACAAAUCAUAUUGCAGAUGGCGCCGGACUCGAUCCGGACAAACAACAACUCUUACGCCAGCUAAAGGCCGGUGAGAGUAUGUUGACAAGGGUGAGGCGAGAGAAGAAUGAUCUUCAGGAUGCCAACACCAAGCUGGACGUCGAACUUAAAGAUGUUCGUGGCCAGCUGUCAGACUCCACGAAGGAGAAUCAACGGCUUCGACGCGGCAUUUUUAGUAAGUGCUUGAACGAACUUUGAAAAAAGAGUUCGGCGAAGAAGUCGACUAACAGAGUAAUGUCUGUAGGUAUGCUCACAGGUUGUCCUGCAGAGGAGAUGCCCGGUUCUACGGGUGAGCUUCUUCCCGAACUCAUGCAACUGCACGAGCGAAUUCAGCAGGCGAUGCGAGGUGUUGCCCAAGCCUUAUGGCCUGCCCACUCCAUGCCCGAGGGCCUUGGAGAGCUUGCGGAGAAGCUGAAGGGAGCUCGGCGGUGCUUCCGGUUGUGGAAAAUAUCGGCCUGCCGACAAGGCGCUAGGGAAGCCUGGGCCAUGGUGAAGACCCGUUUUAUGAAGUCUGACCCAAACCACAUGGCCGAGGUCGGACCGGUGGGGCCUGACGGGAAGGAGAUCCCUGUGAGCUUAGUAUACGGCCAAGUAGAGUUGGCCGCGAAGUAUUCCCAGCAGGACUAUAAAUUAGACAGCCUGUUAGAUGGUAUAGAAGAGGAAUACAAUCAGUCAGAAUGACUAUGUAAUUUUGAAUUGACAUGUGUAAUGCCUUCUAGCCGGAUUGUAGAUCAUUUGUCGUUGCCGACCUUUUCGCUUCAACCUCGGGACCUGACGGUCCGGAGUGUGUCCGAAUACCAUAGCGGUUAUAUAAGAACCGUGGUAUGCGUGGAGACCAGGCGUAGGGGUCAUUAGUGCUUUAUCAGACAAGUGCCCAACUAGUUAUGUUAUAUUACAUGGUUAGUAAGAAACAUCUUCCAGAGAGAAUAGUUCCGUUGGGGGUUCCUUUUGCUGGGAGGCAUGCCCUAAAGUGCAUGUCCGGACUGCGUAAAAAGACGCAGAAAAAAGCAUCUGGGGGCGCAUAAAAAGAAAAGGAUCAUCUCUUAUCUCACCGACCGAAUAUUCCCUUAAGAACGCUAGCUUUCGGCUUCACCCAGUCUGAGGUACACAUCCGGCUGACCCGGCAGUAACAAUCGCAGAGGUGCUCCCUUUACCAUCUAGCCGAACAAUCGGGAAUGUAGGGGUAAGCACAGGAGCCAGGCAACCCAGCUUGGCCAAAACUUAAGUCAUAUCGAUGCAUAUAAUGGUGAAGAAAAAGGUACAUGCGGAAGUUUGACGCAUGUGUUGGGCGUGAAGCCCGUAUAAAUAAGCUUCUGUUAAAGAAGCCCCCAGGUUUAAUGAGCGCGAGUGGCGCGUCACUAGAUAAGCCUUUAAGGGCUAUAAAAGAAAAGAGGGGAAGGAGAGAAAUGUAAGAUAGAAAAAUGCAAAAAAUGGACAGAGGAAGGAGACGAACACAGAGUCCGGCGCUAGGCAUAGAAUCUUCGGAGACGGGUGGCGUUCCAUGGGUUCGGCUCGAGUCGGUUAUCCGACGCAUCUCGCAGGCGGUAUGCCCCGCCAGUCAGGACUUGGUCGAUUAUGAAUGGACCUUCCCACUUGGGCUUGAGUUUGUCCUUUUUCUUAUCCGACAGGCGUAGAAAUAGUUCGCCAACAUUGUAAUUUUUGUCCUGUACUUCUCUGCCUUGAUAUCUUCGGGCCUGCUGUUGAUAAAAUGCGGAAUGGGCUUUUGCCACGUCGCGCUCUUCCUCUAGGGCGUCCAAGUUGUCCUGCCGAUCGAGCUCGGCUUCUCUUUCUUCGUACAUGCGCACUCUAGGUGAGUCAUGAAUUAUGUCGCAGGGCAGAACUGCCUCUGCGCCGUACACCAUAAAAAAUUGCAAGUGCGUGAGAGAGCUCGCUUUAGGCUCAGUUUUACUAUCCUUAAUAAUAGCUGGAGUAAGAAUUUUUUAAAAGAUCACCUAGGAGCAAGAAAAGCUUACAGAAAUAGCGAUUUUUGUUGUCUUAUUAUUCAGGCCAUCAGCAUAAUUGUCAGGGUAAAGCCAACAGUAUAAUUGUCGUUGUAUGCUAAAUCCUUAGUGACAAAAAAAGGAUAAAUUUGGUACUACAAUUCAACCUGCUAAUCUAGAAACCGAUUUGACCGCAAGUUAGGUUGGCAUGAACGCUCCUAUAAUAGAAGAUAGGGUUAUCUCUACGUUAUGAAGGCAGAUGAAACAUGAAGCUCUCUACUAAUGUGCAGCAAGAGCAUUGCAACAUCCACUAAGGCCCAGUUCUUUUCGUGGUGGAUUCUGCAGAAUCAAGAUUCUAGAAAUUUCUCACAGAAUCUGUCGCCUAGUUCUUUUCUAAGAUUGUAGUUUGAAAUUGUGGAUUCAGUUAUGUGGCGAAAUGUCUGUACUGCCCUUAGACAGAAAAUGUUUGAUGAAUUGUUAACACUUUAGCUUUAGCUGCACUGACUUUCUCCAUCUAAAACAUACAGCCAUUAGCGCAUCUAUUCAUCAGCACAUACCAAAAUUACCAAGCACCAAGUAGCAGUACCAAAUUGGCAAUUACCAAAUUGAAAUUGUCAAGCGACAGAUACAGAUUUAAACAUACAUCAAUGCAUUAGCAGUACCAUUUAUUCAUCAAUACAUGCAUCUAUCCAUCCAUCUAUUCACCUAGAUGUUAACAGAGAAACAGAGAAGAAUACAGAGGUAGAAGAGAGACGGGACAGAGAAGAAGAGUUCCCAUCGGGCGUCUAGGCAGGGCGGCCAGAGGCGACCAGAGGCGGCAGGCUGCCCUUCCAGCGGGGUCGCGAGGAGCAAGGCUGACGGAGCUCCCGUCCGGCGGCGUCGUGAGGAGAGGUGCUGUCGGUGUUCCCAUCUGGCGGCGGCGAGGCAGGCCGUCGUGAGGAGAGGGGCCGCCCCAAGGCGAGAACCGACGUGUAGGCUGGGCUGCCAGGGGGUGGCCGGUGGCGGGCUGGUGGAGCUCCCGCCGCCGCUAGCGCUCGUGGGGAUCGAGCGUUUGAUGGGCCGUUCAGUCGUGCAAAAGGGGCAGUUUGGCUGUAAAUUAUUCCUCCAAUAGGGGUACUCUCAUAUCCGAAACGUUUUCUUUGGUGGGACUUACCAGAAUACUGGGAUUCUGUGAAAAUCUAUGUUUUUCGAGGAUUUUGAAUUGCACUAGGAUUCUGCAGAAUCCGCUCGAGAUUUUGGAAGGCAAAUCGAGUUCUUUUCGCUCAGGAUUUUCCAGGACGAGAUUCUUCACAAUCUGUUCAAAAGAACUGGGCCUAAUUGCCGAAUGCAGCGGUAUUCUUUCGCUGGAGGUCAUUGCUGGAUUUGCUUUAGCUCUUCGGGCUGUUUUUCGUAAUCUCCAAGCCUCUUCAACCACCGUAAACCGAGGUCAGAUCCAGACUCAGCUG
rnacentral:lncRNA from 1 species